GACGAACGCUGGCGGCGUGCCUAAUACAUGCAAGUCGAACGCAUUUUCUUUCACCGUAGCUUGCUACACCGAAAGAAAAUGAGUGGCGAACGGGUAGUAACACGUGGGUAACCUGCCCAUCAGCGGGGGAUAACACUCGGAAACAGGUGCUAAUACCGCAUAAUUCCAUUUACUGCAUGGUAGAUGGAUUAAAGGCGCUUUUGCGUCACUGAUGGAUGGCCCCGCGGUGCAUUAGCUAGUUGGUGGGGUAACGGCCUACCAAGGCUGCGAUGCAUAGCCGACCUGAGAGGGUGAUCGGCCACACUGGGACUGAGACACGGCCCAGACUCCUACGGGAGGCAGCAGUAGGGAAUCUUCGGCAAUGGACGCAAGUCUGACCGAGCAACGCCGCGUGAGUGAAGAAGGUUUUCGGAUCGUAAAACUCUGUUGUUAGAAAAGAACAAGGAUGAGAGUGGAAAGUUCAUCCCUUGACGGUAUCUAACCAGAAAGCCACGGCUAACUACGUG
rnacentral:rRNA from 1 species